GCCUGCUUAGCACAGUGGCAGUGCGUUCCUCUCGUAGAUGUUCCUCUUACGUAAGCGGUGCUUGCGAAGUUGAUGCGGCAAAGGAAAGGUCAACGGUUCAAUCCCGUUAGUAGGCA